rnacentral:lncRNA from 1 species
AUGUCCAGGCAAUGUAGCGAUUGCCAAAACAAGAAAUUUUCCCCAAUGUUAGACCCAAACAUAAAAGACAACAUUGUCCAGUGGAAGGAGUGGGUGAGCAAGUCCACUCCCUACAGUAAGAAGGGCCAAAAUGGAUCCACAUUUGAGACAGAGGUCAAAACAACCUCCCUAGAAAAAAGCUCUGCCUCCAUUGAGAAGCUUGUGAGUAUGACUCAAGAUGGCCUUGGUCGUUUCUGCAAACACAUUUACAAUAUCAAGCAUCAAUUUCAGUCAAUUCAGUGCUUGCAGGCAAACCUACAGGAAAAUGAAGCUGUAGUUCACGUAGAUUACAGCGAAAAUUAUAACCGCAAAUGGAGCAGGGAGAUAAAAGAAGUCCAUUUUGGAGGCUCACAUAGACAAGUGACACUCCACACAGGGGUGCUCUAUGUGAGCGGAGGAAGACUUGAGUCAUUUGCUUCUGUGUCAGACUGUCUGUGGCAUGAUGCUGCAGCACCAUGGGCACAACUGAGCCCAGUUUUAGAGCACCUCCGCGUUCAAUACCCUGCGGUCACCAAGGUCCACUUCCUGUCUGAUGGGCCUACAUCACAGCACAGGAAUAAAACAGCUUUUUACCUGGCCUCAGCUGUGCCAUUCCUAAAAGGUUUCAAUUAUGUCACAUGGAACUUUACUGAGGCCUCUCAUGGCAAAGGAACACCUGAUGGUGUUGGAGGUGCUCUGAAGAACUUAGCAGAUCGGAUUGUGGCACGUGGGACGGAUAUACCCGACAUGAGAGCUCUCAUUACAACUCUAAAGGAGCACUCCUCUGUAAAGAUAUUUGAAGUCAAAGAGGAGGAGAUACUCAAAAGUGCGGAACUGGUUCCUCCCACGCUCAAACCUGUACCUGGCACAAUGACUGUGCACCAGCUCAUUGCAAAGAAGGCGGGCUGCAUCAGGGUCAGAGAAGUCUCCUGCUUCUGCAAAAACUGGUGCGACUGCAACACUCCAAAAGAUUUUACAUUUUCAUGUAAUAACAGUGAAGCAGAGAAUGAGGGAGGAGCAGAAGGAAAAUCGAUUGAAGUUGGGACAUGGGUGCUUGUGAACUACGAUGGAGACCUUUUUCCAGGCAUUGUUACACAGGUAUGUAAGUCCAAUGACAAAGCUUGCAUACAGUAUAAAAGUAAUUCAUAAAUUCAAAUCGGAAGAUAAAUAAAUCUUAACUAAAUAGAAUGAUAUUUCUGUUAAGUGUAAAUGAAUUGUACUUUUUCCAUUUAUUCCUACAUCAAUUAACAAAAUUGUAAAUCUUUGAAAUGUUGUGCUUUAUAUAAAGGCUGUUGUUGAGCAGUAUGAGGUGGACACGAUGUACAGGGCUGGUACAAACAGGUUCUUCAUCCCAGGAGUCGAGAUACCUGGGGACAAAAUGUGGUACAUGCCGGAUGACAUCAGGGCAGUCAUCCCUGAGCCAAUGCCUGCAACGUCUUCUGGUCGACAUUUUUGUGUCUUACCAGAAAUUUGGGCAAUCAGUUUUGUCAGGUUCUAAUGACCUUUCUCAUUACCGCAACAUGAAUUCUCAUCCUCCACAAUGGACUUUUCAUUACCGUCAUGCAUAACAUUAAACAGUUUAAUGUUUUAGAGAAAUGUGUUUGUUCAUUUAUUACAAUAUGUUCCUGAGCUGUUUUGCACAUGUGUUUUCUGUAAACAAUUUCUUGUUUACCAAGAAAUUAUUGAAAAAAGUGUGCUAUAAAAUGCCUUCAGUGUUUCGGUAAUGAGAGUUACUUGAUUUUAAAUGUAAGUAAAAAUAUAUAAAUCAUUACUUUUGAUGCACUGUGCUGUUUCAUUUAAUUUGUGUAACUGUGAAAAAAUUAAACAAAAAUGAUUUGUACUUAAUGGUUUCCUUUUUUCAUUCAACGUAUCGAUAAUGAGAGUUAUUCUGUAUCACGCUGCUA